rnacentral:tRNA from 1 species
UGCGGGGUAGAGCAGUGGUAGCUCGUCGGGCUCAUAACCCGGAGGCCGCAGGUUCGAAUCCUGCCCCCGCUA